GACGUUAGCGGCGGACGGGUGAGUAACACGUGGGUAACCCUACCUAUAAGACUGGGAUAACUUCGGGAAACCGGAGCUAAUACCGGAUAAUAUUUAGAACCGCAUGGUUCGAUAGUGAAAGGUGGUUUUGCUAUCACUUAUAGAUGGACCCGCGCCGUAUUAGCUAGUUGGUAAGGUAACGGCUUACCAGGGCGACGAUACGUAGCCGACCUGAGAGGGUGAUCGGCCACACUGGAACUGAGACACGGUCCAGACUCCUACGGGAGGCGGCAGCU
rnacentral:rRNA from 1 species